UGGAUCCCGGCGGGCGGCGGAGGGGAGACCGGGCCGGCGGAGGCGGCGGCGGCAACGGGCGGGGGAGGGGGCUGAUCCCGCGUCUCCCCUCGGCAGACAAUACAAGCGCCUCGGAGCGACUCCCCGAACCUGCCCUAGCCAAAAUGGCGGCCGAGAAAGAGCGGAAGUGACGGCUUCCCAGGUGGCGCUAAUGGGAAAGAACUGGCUUCCCAACGCAGGAGAUGAGGGUUCGAUCCCUGGGUCGCGAAGAUCUCUGGAAGAGGGCAUGGCAACCCCCUCCAGUAUUCUUGCCUAGAGAACCCCAUGCACAGAGGAGCCUGGUGGGCUAUGGCCCAUAGGGUCGCAAGGAGUCGGACACGACUGAAAUGACUGAGCAUGCCCACAUGCAUUCCAUCAAAGGGCAGUUUCAAGAUUACUUCAAUCUCGAAGAACCUUCUGGAUUCAGAUAUUCAGAACAUUUGAUCAUCCCAUGAAAUCAAGGAUCUUCACGACAACAGAUACUCAAUUUCCGAGGACUGUGCUUCCUCCAUGCUCCCCCGAUUUUUCAGUAAUAAUAACACUUUUCAACAUAAAACAACUGUGACCCACAACAGAAAUAAAGGCAUUCAAGGUUUUUAUCUCAGAAUGAGACUGAGUUCAUUUGAGAUUUGCUAUAACCUCUUACACUGUAAAGCCAGAACAGCUUUUAAAAAAAAAAAAAUAAAUAAAUACCUUUUAAAAACGUUUGACUUAAAGAAAUGUUCAUGGACUUACAGCUAAGGCAGUGUGCUGGUCCAAAUGUUUGCCCUUAGAUCCCUUCUCUGUUCUAAAUAUAUCGCAGGGUACUAUAUUUGUUCGCUUGUCAACUGAUUUCCAAACAGCUUUGGGAAGCACAGGAAGACGGGAGAUUUCAAGCAGAAGGGGAAAAGUCCAAGAGUCCUCCCCCGACUCUGCCUCUCAGCGUGGACCAGACUCCCUCCAUGGGGCCCACUUCCGCCAGGUAUCCCUGACUCUACCAUUCUAGCUCCUCCAGGCACGCAGACCCUGGUUCUAAAAACACCAGCUCCUCCAUCGCUGCUCCAGCCCCGGGGGAGUAGCAGUGACCUCCAGCAGCUACUAAUCUCUGAGUAGCCUCACUCUUCCAUUUGGCUUCUCAGCAAUUCCUUCACCAGUGUAACCAGAUUCUCUAUAUUAAAUUCCUUAUAUUGAAAACUUAGUUUCUGUUUUCCUAAGAGAGCCUUGGUUGAUACAGGC